GUCAACACUGUGGAGAUGUUUGACCUGGAGCAUGGAAACCAGCCAUGUCCUUUGGGUUCUGUGGAGAGCUUUAGCCUUGCACGGCGGCGCUGGGAGGCAUUGCCUGCCAUGCCCACUGCCCGCUGCUCCUGCUCUAGUCUGCAGGCUGGGCCCCGGCUGUUUGUUAUUGGGGGUGUGGCCCAGGGCCCCAGUCAAGCCGUGGAGGCACUGUGUCUGCGUGAUGGGGUCUGAAGGCCUGGUGGGAGCUGUCCACUGGAGCAGCUCAUUGCCAGAGACAGCUAUUUCUAUGGCUCGUUUUGCUGCUGAGAACACUCACUGUGGCUCUGUGGGAUGAAAGAGGUAUGGGGGUGAGCACUUGAGACACUGCCUUGGGGCCUUGGGUUAGGGGAGCCUUUGUCUUUAGUGCAGGACACACGUAUGCUUACACCUACCUUUAUCACCAUUCGUUCAUGAAUCAUGCCUAGCUCCAUCCUUGCCCUGGGACCUACUAGGCCUUCCAUCCAACUGGGAAAUGGGGAGAAGAAAAGCUGGCCUCAUGCUCUUCAGGGUCAGUUCCUAUCUGGAGUUGACCAGGCCUACCCCAGUUGCCAUUCCUGAAAAAUCUCAGCUGCCAGGCUGCCUUUAGGGUCCCUGUAGACCCAGGAGAGUUGAGAGGGUGGGGGACACAGAGAAUAGAGAGGAUGUGGGAACUGCCAGAGGGCCAGAGCGCAAGAGUUCAAGCGGAGGAAUGCUGGCUUUGAGCCCUCUACGCUGCUGGUUGUAUGACCUUGGACAAGUCACUUCACCUCUCUGUGCCUCAGCAUCCUCAUCUAUAAAUGGGGAUCUCUGAA
rnacentral:sRNA from 1 species